rnacentral:rRNA from 1 species
UACGUAGGGGGCUAGCGUUGUCCGGAUUUAUUGGGCGUAAAGAGCGUGUAGGCGGCCAGGUAGGUCCGCUGUGAAAGUCCAGGGCUCAACCCUGGAAGGCCGGUGGAAACUGUCGGGCUAGAGUCCGGAAGAGGCGAGUGGAAUUCCCGGUGUAGCGGUGAAAUGCGCAGAUAUCGGGAGGAACACCAAUGGCGAAGGCAGCUCGCUGGGACGGUACUGACGCUGAGACGCGAAAGCGUGGGGAGCAAACAGG